rnacentral:rRNA from 1 species
AGAGUUUGAUCCUGGCUCAGGACGAACGCUGGCGGCGUGCCUAAUACAUGCAAGUCGAGCGGAUGAUGAGGAGCUUGCUCCUCUGAUUCAGCGGCGGACGGGUGAGUAACACGUGGGCAACCUGCCUGUAAGACUGGGAUAACUUCGGGAAACCGGAGCUAAUACCGGAUAAUUAAUUGAACCACAUGGUUCAAUUAUAAAAGAUGGUUUCGGCUAUCACUUACAGAUGGGCCCGCGGCGCAUUAGCUAGUUGGUGAGGUAACGGCUCACCAAGGCGACGAUGCGUAGCCGACCUGAGAGGGUGAUCGGCCACACUGGGACUGAGACACGGCCCAGACUCCUACGGGAGGCAGCAGUAGGGAAUCUUCCGCAAUGGACGAAAGUCUGACGGAGCAACGCCGCGUGAGCGAUGAAGGCCUUCGGAUCGUAAAGCUCUGUUGUUAGGGAAGAACAAGUGCCGGAGUAACUGCCGGUGCCUUGACGGUACCUAACCAGAAAGCCACGGCUAACUACGUGCCAGCAGCCGCGGUAAUACGUAGGUGGCAAGCGUUGUCCGGAAUUAUUGGGCGUAAAGGGCGCGUAGGCGGCUAUACAAGUCUGAUGUGAAAGCCCCCGCUCAACCGGGGAGGGUCAUUGGAAACUGGGAAACUUGAGUACAGAAGAGGAAAGUGGAAUUCCACGUGUAGCGGUGAAAUGCGUAGAGAUGUGGAGGAACACCAGUGGCGAAGGCGACUUUCUGGUCUGUAACUGACGCUGAGGCGCGAAAGCGUGGGGAGCGAACAGGAUUAGAUACCCUGGUAGUCCACGCCGUAAACGAUGGAUACUAGGUGUAGGAGGUAUUCCGCCCUUCAGUGCUGCAGCUAACGCAUUAAGCACUCCGCCUGGGGAGUACGGUCGCAAGACUGAAACUCAAAGGAAUUGACGGGGGCCCGCACAAGCGGUGGAGCAUGUGGUUUAAUUCGAAGCAACGCGAAGAACCUUACCAGGUCUUGACAUCCUCUGCUACUUCUAGAGAUAGAAGGUUCCCCUUCGGGGGACAGAGUGACAGGUGGUGCAUGGUUGUCGUCAGCUCGUGUCGUGAGAUGUUGGGUUAAGUCCCGCAACGAGCGCAACCCUUGUCCUUAGUUGCCAUCAUUCAGUUGGGCACUCUAAGGAGACUGCCGGUGACAAACCGGAGGAAGGUGGGGAUGACGUCAAAUCAUCAUGCCCCUUAUGACCUGGGCUACACACGUGCUACAAUGGAUGGUACAAAGGG